rnacentral:misc_RNA from 1 species
GUGAAUCAUCGAAUCUUUGAACGCAUAUUGCACUCUCUGGUAUUCCGGAGAGUGUGCCUAUUUGAGGGUCAUUUGAAAUAAUAUAAAUUCCAAGAUUUCUCGGAAUUUAAAAUGGGUUGUCCAUUUUUGUUGUCGCCUAAAAUCCAAGACCAGGUCAUUUUUUUGGGGUUGGGUAUAAUUUUCAGUUAC